rnacentral:rRNA from 1 species
GACGAACCGUGCGAACGUUAUUCGGAAUCACUGGGCUUAAAGCGCGUGUAGGCGGGAGGGCACGUCCGUCGUUGAAAGCCCCCGGCUCAACCGGGGAACGGGCGCGGAUACGACCUUCCUGGAGGGGCGUAGGGGGACCGGGAACUUCCGGUGGAGCGGUGAAAUGCGUUGAGAUCGGAAGGAACGCCCGUGGCGAAAGCGCGGUCCUGGACGCCUGCUGACGCUGAGACGCGAAAGCCAGGGGAGCGAACGGG